GACGAACGCUGGCGGCGUGCCUAAUACAUGCAAGUCGAACGAACUCUGGUAUUGAUUGGUGCUUGCAUCAUGAUUUACAUUUGAGUGAGUGGCGAACUGGUGAGUAACACGUGGGAAACCUGCCCAGAAGCGGGGGAUAACACCUGGAAACAGAUGCUAAUACCGCAUAACAACUUGGACCGCAUGGUCCGAGUUUGAAAGAUGGCUUCGGCUAUCACUUUUGGAUGGUCCCGCGGCGUAUUAGCUAGAUGGUGAGGUAACGGCUCACCAUGGCAAUGAUACGUAGCCGACCUGAGAGGGUAAUCGGCCACAUUGGGACUGAGACACGGCCCAAACUCCUACGGGAGGCAGCAGUAGGGAAUCUUCCACAAUGGACGAAAGUCUGAUGGAGCAACGCCGCGUGAGUGAAGAAGGGUUUCGGCUCGUAAAACUCUGUUGUUAAAGAAGAACAUAUCUGAGAGUAACUGUUCAGGUAUUGACGGUAUUUAACCAGAAAGCCACGGCUAACUACGUGCCAGCAGCCGCGGUAAUACGUAGGUGGCAAGCGUUGUCCGGAUUUAUUGGGCGUAAAGCGAGCGCAGGCGGUUUUUUAAGUCUGAUGUGAAAGCCUUCGGCUCAACCGAAGAAGUGCAUCGGAAACUGGGAAACUUGAGUGCAGAAGAGGACAGUGGAACUCCAUGUGUAGCGGUGAAAUGCGUAGAUAUAUGGAAGAACACCAGUGGCGAAGGCGGCUGUCUGGUCUGUAACUGACGCUGAGGCUCGAAAGUAUGGGUAGCAAACAGGAUUAGAUACCCUGGUAGUCCAUACCGUAAACGAUGAAUGCUAAGUGUUGGAGGGUUUCCGCCCUUCAGUGCUGCAGCUAACGCAUUAAGCAUUCCGCCUGGGGAGUACGGCCGCAAGGCUGAAACUCAAAGGAAUUGACGGGGGCCCGCACAAGCGGUGGAGCAUGUGGUUUAAUUCGAAGCUACGCGAAGAACCUUACCAGGUCUUGACAUACUAUGCAAAUCUAAGAGAUUAGACGUUCCCUUCGGGGACAUGGAUACAGGUGGUGCAUGGUUGUCGUCAGCUCGUGUCGUGAGAUGUUGGGUUAAGUCCCGCAACGAGCGCAACCCUUAUUAUCAGUUGCCAGCAUUAAGUUGGGCACUCUGGUGAGACUGCCGGUGACAAACCGGAGGAAGGUGGGGAUGACGUCAAAUCAUCAUGCCCCUUAUGACCUGGGCUACACACGUGCUACAAUGGAUGGUACAACGAGUUGCGAACUCGCGAGAGUAAGCUAAUCUCUUAAAGCCAUUCUCAGUUCGGAUUGUAGGCUGCAACUCGCCUACAUGAAGUCGGAAUCGCUAGUAAUCGCGGAUCAGCAUGCCGCGGUGAAUACGUUCCCGGGCCUUGUACACACCGCCCGUCACACCAUGAGAGUUUGUAACACCCAAAGUCGGUGGGGUAACCUUUUAGGAACCAGCCGCCUAAGGUGGGACAGAUGAUUAGGGUGAAGUCGUAACAAGGUAGCCGUAG
rnacentral:rRNA from 1 species